CACGUACUCCCUCCAUCCGAAAAUACUUGUCGGAGGAAUGGAUGUAUCUAGACAUAUUUUAGUUCUAGAUACAUCUAUUUUUAUGCAUUUCUCCGACAAGUAUUUCCGGACGGAGGGAGUACUAG
rnacentral:pre_miRNA from 1 species